UGUUGGUCAAUGGAGGAAACUCUGAACCAGCCAUGCCGCGUGAAGGAUGACGGCCCUAUGGGUURUAAACUUCUUUUGUAGAGGAAGAAACUUGUCUACGUGUAGACAACUGACGGUACUCUAAGAAUAAGGAUCGGCUAACUCCGUGCCAGCAGCCGCGGUAAUACGGAGGRUCCAAGCGUUAUCCGGAUUCAUUGGGUUUAAAGGGUCCGUAGGCGGAUGUUUAAGUCAGUGGUGAAAGCCGACAGCUCAACUGUCGAACUGCCAUUGAUACUGGAAAUCUUGAGUAMAAAUGAAGUAGGCGGAAUGAGUCAUGUAGCGGUGAAAUGCAUAGAUAUGAMUCAGAACACCGAUUGCGAAGGCAGCUUACUAACAUGUAACUGACGSUGAGGGACGAAAGCGGGGGGAGCGAACAGGAUUAGAUACCSUGGUAGUCCACGCCGUAAACGAUCAUCACUCGCUGUUGGCGAUAUACUGUCAGCGGCCAAGCGAAAG
rnacentral:rRNA from 1 species